UACCUUGGAAAUUAUCCAUUUCUUCUAGAU
rnacentral:piRNA from 2 species